rnacentral:lncRNA from 1 species
UGAUAACUCCAAAAUAUAUAGAAUUUUAUAGCAUUUUUUGGCUAAUAAUUCAUGCAAAUUUCGAGUGUUUCUUAUUAGAUUUUUGUAUUUUUAUUACAAAAUAUCUAAGUUAGACAAAAUUAAAGACAAAUCUCUAUUUUUAUUUAUUUACAUGCUAAACUUACACAAUUUUUCCAAUUUGAAGUUGUUUGAUGUAUUUGAAGAAAGGGCAGUCUUGAAAUGUCAACUUUUGGAGCUCAAAUGUUGUAGCAUCCUAUAGCACAAGCCAUGCAGAGGAGGGUUGAUUAAUAAUAAGCUUUGG